GAAUAGAAACAGGGGUGCUCCACCGAACGUGGGGCUGAGAAAAACCCUUCGCACCCGAACCGGAUAAUGCCGGCGUGGGAAGUUUCCGAAGCGAAGCU
rnacentral:ncRNA from 1 species